rnacentral:lncRNA from 1 species
CCACCCACCCACAGUUCUACUGGAAAUGUCAGCACAUCAAGCCAGAACCUUCAGGCUGCAUCAGACUUUGGUACCUUUGUAUCGAACAAUGAGGAAGCAGCUAAAGAUCCAUUUGAUCUUUCUUCAACUGUCAAUGUCGGAAAAACACCUUUGGCAGCUCCCAAGACAGAUGCAUCUGAUUUUGGUGCCUUUGUAUCUAGCACUGAGGAAUCAGCGAAGGACCCUUUUGAUCUUUCUUCGAGUAGCAACAUUGGAAAGACAGACCAAACACCUUUGGCAGCUCCCAAGCCUAGCGCAAAGAAAGAAAAUUUUCAGGUGAAGUCUGGCAUAUGGGCAGACUCCUUGAGCCGAGGAUUGAUUGAUCUGAACAUAAGUGCACGUAUGUUCCUUGUUUCUCUUUCCUUGUUGUCAAUUAUAUCUAUCAACUUGAUAUACAAAUAUCUAAUGUCAGAAAUGUUGAUGAUUGUCAUUGUUUCUGCCAAACUGCAGCAAAGAAGGUGAAC